rnacentral:lncRNA from 1 species
UCCUCAGCCAACAAACUCCAGGAUCUUAUUGUUUCCUCCUCAUCAACACAAAGAUUAGAUAUACACUACCAUCCCCAGCUGUUUCUAUGGAUGCUGGAGACCCAAACUCAGGGUCUGUGCCAAUAGCCUGAAUUCAUACCAGUUUGCUGAGUUGGUACGAGGUGCAGAAUUGAUGGUACAGAAAGACAUUACACGGCCUACAACUCUUUGGACCAUAUCAACAGAUCAUCCGUGGCCUCAACUGCAGAAACAUCUCAUUAAAUUCUUGCAGUUUCUCCCCAAAGAGCAGGCAUGCCCUUCCAUCUUCUCAAAACAGAUGGAGACCUGGCAGAAUGUUCACCUCAGCUGGGACUAUGGAUUCACCUGAGAUCAACUCCAGAGACAGCAGGUUAAUCUUCAUUCAAGAAAUGAGUCUUGAGCACCCUAGGGCAUGGAGGGUCUGGAGCACGUCACUGUGUAUGUCUGGAGCAGGUCAAGUGGGGUAUGCCGAGAGAGCCGGAGGAAUCACAUGGUUCUUCUCAGGCUGUGAAGGAACUGUCCAUCUACAGAGGUGUUUUAUUAAGCUUUCCUGAAGAGCUGUGUGAGUGGAAACUUCUAGUUCUUUGGAAAGGUAUGUUAAAUGAUGUUUUGCUGGGGUAUACAGGUGAAAGGAUGUCUUGCUAAAGCAAGCACGUGAAAGACUGUUUUCCUGAAGCAGACACAGGUGAAAGGAUGCUUUGCUAUGGCAGACAUGUGAAAGGAUGUUUGAUGAAGGAGAAUAUGACCCCCAGAGACUGGGGGACAAGCACUGAGCCCUGGUCUGAUUUGUUUGGCCUCCUUAGUCUUCACUAACAACAGGUGUGUAUGUUUUGGUGUGCCUUACAUAGUGCUGUUGAGCUUGUAAUAACACCACCAUUGAGAGAAACUUGCCCAAGAACUACUGGUGAGGUUCCUGUGGCAGCUUGCCACUUCCCAUGACCUCACCUCAGGCUGAUUGGUGAGCCUGGUGGUUUUCUCAGGAUUGAAUUGAACUAUAGUUGCUGGUUCGUGCCUGGUGUCUGAUUGCUAAAAGGACUGAAAGGACUUGCCACCAAAGAACUAUUGCUGAACAGGUCUACUUCCCCCACAUCCUAAUAACUUUUCUCUUCCACUACCUCUGCUGGGUGGUGGGCAAGAAGAGAGGUUGAGUCCUUAUUAAAAGUUG